UACGAAGGGGGCUAGCGUUGCUCGGAAUGACUGGGCGUAAAGGGCGCGUAGGCGGAUGGCACAGUCAGAUGUGAAAUUCCUGGGCUUAACCUGGGGGCUGCAUUUGAUACGUGUGAUCUAGAGUGAGGAAGAGGGUUGUGGAAUUCCCAGUGUAGAGGUGAAAUUCGUAGAUAUUGGGAAGAACACCGGUGGCGAAGGCGGCGACCUGGUCCUAACUGACGCUGGAGGCGCGAAAGCGUGGGGAGCAAACAGG
rnacentral:rRNA from 1 species